UACAGAGGUCCCGAGCGUUGUUCGGAUUCACUGGGCGUAAAGGGUGCGUAGGUGGUGAGGUAAGUCGGAUGUGAAAUCUCCGGGCUCAACCCGGAAACUGCAUUGGAAACUACCUUGCUUGAGGGUUUGAGGGGGGACUGGAAUUCUCGGUGUAGCAGUGAAAUGCGUAGAUAUCGAGAGGAACACCGGUGGCGAAGGCGAGUCCCUGGAAAACACCUGACACUGAGGCACGAAAGCUAGGGGAGCAAACAGG
rnacentral:rRNA from 1 species